UUGACCAACCGUCAUCUCUCGAUUGGAUCUUCUUCUACGUGGUUUUUUUCCAUGGCUGCCGGCGAUCCCAGUUCCCUCUCCCUCCAUGGCAACGCCGGCUCCCCCUUCCCUCCCCUUCUCAUGCCCCUCUCGACCUACACUCCACCACCUUCCCUUUCUUUCUCCGCCUUGUGGAUUCCUAGCGGCGGCGCGAGGCCGCACACCCCGGAGAGCCUGCGACUCGAGUUGCCUCCCGAGCGCCGUCGCUGCAUCUGCCCGGCAAGCGCCGCCGCCAACGCAUCUGCCUGGCGAGCGCUGCCGCCAACGCAUCUUCCCGGUGAGCGCCGCUGCCGCCGACGCAUGCUCUCAGCUCCAAAAAAAAACUCGUUUUUUUUCCGAAAUAACGAGGAAUCGCCGGAUCUGCGUGCGGCGGUGCUGAAUCCGGUGGUGUUGUGAGCCCAGCCGUUCACCGACACUUACUACCCCCAGGCCGGGCCUUCGUCGAGCCGAGGAAGGAGGUGGACGACGUUCAUGAGGUGCAAGCUGCAGAAUCCUGGCAACUAAUACGGAAGAGAGGAGAUGUAUCCAGUAUUUUUAAGUACCCUGCCACUAAUCCAUUGGCGUAGAUAGAAUAUUUCAAUGAUGGUCACGCCAAGUUAGUUUGUAUGAUCAUCACACUAAUUAGUACUAAUACAAUAUAGUCUGAAGAGGCUAAAUUGAAUUAGCUAUCUAGCUAUUCCAUUUCUGUUCUUCCUUUCUAUCUGUGUACAUAACUGAAUAUUUGUGUAUAUUAUUGUAGCAGUCAAGAGCCAAAGAACGUGGACGUACAUCUCAACUACUUGAAUCUGCAUCCUUACGAGGUGUUAUGCCAAAUGCAUCUUGCUGCUAGAGAUUGCGAUUUUAGAUACUUGUUUACGAGAGCUGAAGCACCAUUUUAUUUUGUUCGCCAGUAAAUGAAAAUGAAACAUUGUUACCUAGAUGUCAGCUUAAGUAUUUCCUUAUCUGAGAAUACUUGAGAACGGUCAAUCUAUGAUGAUAUUCUUAGUAUUCUGAAUUUGCACCAAAACUCCGAGUAAUCUGUGAUGAUUUAGAUGGUACGAUAAUGAAUUUUUACUUGACUGAAGAUGCCAGUUUGUAAGCAUCACACAAACUCUUCAGGCGAGCAGGUGAGUGUUUUGCAUAAGUAACUGCCCUGGAACUAGCUACCUCUUCAUAGUUUCACAUGCUCUUGCAAAUAUCUUCUUAUCUCUUUUCAGUUUGUUAGGUAGAGAAAUUAAACAACGGGAAAACUUGGAAGCCAGACCAGGCACAUCUCAGUCUGAAAAUUUGAACUGACUAAGUAAGAAAAUAGAAUAUAUUUACUGAUGAUAACUAUUUUAUCUCUCCAGGUUGAAGGCUAACGGCUUACUAAAUUAAGGUUUUCAUGGUGAUAUAUUUUGAGCUUAUACACCACUCUCUGCUAAGUGCCAAUUCCAGCUGUUGUCAUUUGUGAGUAGUAACUAUGAUUGUCCUCUUUUAACUUAUCUUACUUUAUCACUGGAAUAUGCA